rnacentral:rRNA from 1 species
AAUCAACGCUGGCGGCGUGCCUCAGACAUGCAAGUCGAACGAUUAAAGCUCUCUUCGGAGAGUGCAUAAAGUGGCGCACGGGUGAGUAACACGUAAGUAAUCUACCUUCGAGUGGGAAUAACGUCCGGAAACGGACGCUAAUACCGCAUAACGCAGCGGCAUCGCAAGAUGACAGUUGUUAAAGAUUUAUCGCUUGAAGAGGAGCUUGCGGCAGAUUAGCUUGUUGGUAAGGUAACGGCUUACCAAGGCUACGAUCUGUAUCCGGUCUAAGAGGACGGUCGGACACACUGACACUGAAUAACGGGUCAGACUCCUACGGGAGGCAGCAGUCGGGAAUUUUGGGC